ensembl:lncRNA
CCACGCUGGGUGCCCCGGACCGGCCGGGGGUGAGCGGGCGCCGGGGCUCCGGGUCGUGGGCCCGCGCCUCCCUCCCGGCCACGGGCGGACCCUGUUCGUCUUGAGUGGCGGCCGAGCGCACGGCUCUGCGGGCCGCGUCUCCCCGGCCUGUCCUCCGCGGCAGGCGGCCCCGAGGGCGGAGGCGGUCCACCUCUUCUGGGCCUCAGUGCCGCAGCCGGAAGGCGGGCAGUGAUCGUGAUCGUGCCUCCCGGGGCGGGCUGCACGUGAGGUCACAUGAGUUAGCAACAGGUAAAGAACUCAUUCAACCGUGUAAUAAAACUGCAAACAACAGAAGCUUCCCAGAAGGAGAUACACAGAUGGCAAAUAAGUACAAGAAGGAUGCUCGACCAUCAUCUUCAUGAGGGAAACACAAAGCCACAGUGAGACACGGCCACACCAUUGUCCGUCCACUCGAGUGGCCAAAGAAGGCUGACAUCGGCAAGCACCAAGGUUGCAGAGCUGCUGAAAUUCUCAUCCGUUGCAGACAAGAGGGCAAAAUGGUACAACCAAUUUGGAAGCAUUUUGGUGGUUUCUUCUAAAGUUGCCAUACACUUACCCUUCAACCCAGUACUCCCACUCCUAGGUACUUACCCAACAGGGACGAAAACGUGUCCGCACCAGACUUGUACUAAGUUCUCACAUUUUUAAUUGGAUCUCCAGUUAUCACGAUACGAAGAUUAGAAUCUGUGAUAUUAUGAGUUAUGAUAAGAAAUUCAGUCACCUGUGCUCAACAAUGGGGAUAUAUUCUCAGAAAGCUGCGUCAUCAGGCGAUUUCCUUGUUGUGUGAACUUCGUAGAGUGUACUUACGAACCUAGCUGGUAGCCGGCUGCACACCGAGGCUCUGUGGUUAGCCUGGUGCUCCUCGGCUGCAAAGCUGUGCAGCAUGUCACUGUCCUGAGUACUGGAGGCAACUGUGACACAACAGUAUUUGUAUAUUUAGACAUAUCAAAACAGAAAUAGCACAGUAAAAAUAUGGUAUAAAAGAUAAAAAAUGGCACAUCUGUAUGGGGCGCUUACCGUAAAUGGAGCUUGCAGGUCUGGAAGCUGCUCUGGGUGAGUGAGUGGGUGAUGAGUGAGCAAAGGCCUCGGAUGUUCCUGGACACUGCCGCAGACGUUAUAAACUGUACACUUAGGCUACACUAAAUUUAUAAAAAAAGAUUUUUCUUUCUUUAAUAAUAAACUAACCUUAGCUUACUGUACCUUUUUUAUUUUAUAUACUUUAAUUUUUUUAACUUUUUGACUCUUUUGUGAUAAGACAGCUUAAAAUGCAAACACAUUGUACAGCUGUACAAAACUUUUCUUUGUAUCCUUAUUCUAUAAGCUUUUUAAAUUUUUUUAUUUUAUUCUUUUACUUCUUAAACUUUUUUUUUAAAAAGUAAGACUAAUGCACACAUUAGCGUAGACCUGCACAGGGUCAGGAUCCUCAGUAUCACUGUCUUCCAUCUCCACAUCUUGUCCCACUUGCCAAGGUCUUCAGGGACAAUACCACACGUGGACUGUCGUCUCCUAUGGUCACAGUGCCUCCUCCUGGAACACCUCCUAGAGGGCCUGCCUGAGGCGCUUCUUGAGGAGUGUCACUCUUUCAGAAAUAUGACUAUGGCGGUUUGCUUGGUUUGUUUCUUUUUUUUAUCAUAGAUUUGCUUGUAAGCAGAUAACACACCAUACACAUUCCUCUCUAUUAAUGAAAACCUUUCAGUGUUGGGGUGCAUGUUUUCAAACCUUUUAAGAGGCAUGUCGAGCAAAAGCGUCUGCUGAACCCCUCACUGAAUUUUCUUGGGGGUUCCUUUUCUUGUCUUGUGGUUUCCUUUUCUCUUGCCUCUUUUUUAGCUAUGCAUUCC